rnacentral:lncRNA from 1 species
AAAAAGCCACCUCCUCAUGCCUGUCCAAAAUGAACCACGCAACUGGUUACCUUUCUCUGCCUACCUUUUGGGCUGGGGAAGAGGGGCACCUUUCUCAUCACUCUCAGGGAAGUCCUGAGGAACUGUGCAAGCCAGGAAGCAUGAGUCGCUGAAUUGGUGAUGGAGGGGUGUCCACUUUUUUCUAGUUCCUCAGCUGCUUCUGGAGCAGUGUUCACAACGGGAAUGUUUUUACUGUCCUUGGUAGGCUACAGGUUCACAGCUUCAAAUCAAGGCCUCCAAGGAUUUUAUUCUCUUACAUCACAGUUUUGACAAGUAUGCUUUUAAAAAACAACAUUUGCAAAACUGGUCUUUAAGCGACGUGAGUCAGAGGUAACAAAGGCAUAUAUAUACCGAACAAAGGUGCUCCGGUGCAGUGGAGAGAACAGUAUUAGUGUCGCAAGCACAGGAGUGCAGACAGCCCCGCCUUCAUCGUGAUGCCUGCAGCACACCACGAUUAUCAUGAGAGGUCAAGAUUUUGAUUUACUAAUUUAUAAUCUUAUUUCCAAGCAAAACAAGUCAAUUUCAUGUUACAACUUUUUUCUUGUUUCUUUUUAUCUUGUUUGGCCUGAGGGUUGGGGGAUUUGGGGGAGUUGUCAGCUGCACAAUCUUUGAAGUGUAAGUUAAUUUUUAUGUGAUAUUUCAGUAUAUAUUUUAUUGAUUAAAUUUAUUGGAAAACUUA